rnacentral:rRNA from 1 species
UACGGAGGAUGCGGGCGUUAUCCGGAUUUAUUGGGUUUAAAGGGUGCGUAGGCGGACUGUCAAGUCAGCGGUAAAAUUGAGAGGCUCAACCUCUUCCCGCCGUUGAAACUGGCGUUCUUGAGUGGGCGGGAAGUAUGCGGAAUGCGUGGUGUAGCGGUGAAAUGCAUAGAUAUCACGCAGAACUCCGAUUGCGAAGGCAGCAUACCGGCGCCCUACUGACGCUGAGGCACGAAAGCGUGGGUAUCGAACAGG